UAGGGAAUCUUCGGCAAUGGGGGGAACCCUGACCGAGCAACGCCGCGUGAGUGAAGAAGGUUUUCGGAUCGUAAAGCUCUGUUGUUAAGGAAGAACGAGUGUGAGAAUGGAAAGUUCAUACUGUGACGGUACUUAACCAGAAAGGGACGGCUAACUACGUGCCAGCAGCCGCGGUAAUACGUAGGUGGCAAGCGUUGUCCGGAUUUAUUGGGCGUAAAGCGAGCGCAGGCGGUCAAUUAAGUCUGAUGUGAAAGCCCCCGGCUCAACCGGGGAGGUUCAUUGGAAACUGGUUGACUUGAGUGCAGAAGAGGAGAGUGGAAUUCCAUGUGUAACGGUGAAAUGCGUAGAUAUAUGGAGGAACACCAGUGGCGAAGGCGACUCUCUGGUCUGUAACUGACGCUGAGGCUCGAAAGCGUGGGUAGCAAACAGG
rnacentral:rRNA from 1 species